GGUUCGAUAGCUCAGCGGCAGAGCGGUGGGGUGCGUUUACCCAUGCGGCCUGGGUUCGAUCCCCAGUCGAUGCA